rnacentral:rRNA from 1 species
GCACAACGCGAAGAACCUUACCCACCUUUGACAUGUACGGAAUCCUUUAGAGAUAGAGGAGUGCUCGAAAGAGAGCCGUAACACAGGUGCUGCAUGGCUGUCGUCAGCUCGUGUCGUGAGAUGUUGGGUUAAGUCCCGCAACGAGCGCAACCCUUGCCAUUAGUUGCUACAUUUAGUUGAGCACUCUAAUGGGACUGCCGGUGACAAACCGGAGGAAGGUGGGGAUGACGUCAAGUCCUCAUGGCCCUUAUAGGUGGGGCUACACACGUCAUACAAUGGCUGGUACAAAGGGUUGCCAACCCGCGAGGGGGAGCUAAUCCCAUAAAGCCAGUCGUAGUCCGGAUCGCAGUCUGCAGCUCGACUGCGUGAAGUCGGAAUCGCUAGUAAUCGCGAAUCAGAAUGUCGCGGUGAAUACGUUCCCGGGUCUUGUACACACCG